GGGGGUAUAAUUCAGUAGUAGAGUGCAAGCUUAGCAUGCACAAGGUCCUGGGUUCCAUCCCCCGUACCUCCU
rnacentral:tRNA from 1 species